CGUCCACGUUGGCUUCAGCUUCUGUCCUUUUUAGAUGACAAAAGAUAGGUUGAAUGUUAAAGACAUCAUUCAACUGGGGGGACAAAAAAAGAAGCUCACUGUCCCCUUGAGACUCUCUCCUCUCCUGAGAGACCUCGGCCUCCAGAUGUUUGCCAAAAGCCAGGUCAAGGGAUGCCACUGUGUGAUGCUCCAACAGCAAACAAGGCAGAGAAGGUUGCAACAUAACCCUCUUUGCCCCCUUCCUCUGUGUGCCUCUCUCUUCCCACCACCCCUCCUCCCAAAUCUGGGGCACAGACAGUGACAGCCAACAUCACAGAUUACGGAUGGCGCCGGGCACAGCAACGGACAGGCGACAGGCAGGCGAGCCAAGCUGCUUGCGAGUUCCAUCAUUCCUCCGGGCACCCUGUCCUUCUGUGCCCUUCGCUGGGCAGAGGGAUGUCAGUCCAUUUGUUUUCAAAGGAGCUCAAGGACAUUGCUACUACUAGUUUGCAGAGGUGAGUAUCCAAGAAAGAGGAGGUGCAAAGGAGGGCAGAUCAGUGUGCAGAGGGAUUGGAGGGAAAUGAGAUUUCACACCCACCCCUAGUUUUGAAAGGUGCCAUUUGAUCAGAGGGAUUUCAUUUUUAAAAGCAAGUUCAGGGAAGCCCUUGUAUAUCCAAGACACUUCCAUGCAAGUGGCAACAGAAAAUGCAUUUAAAAGGCUAUGUACUGUCACUAACAUACUCCCCAGCUCUCUUGAUUUGGCAGUCUGUCCUUUAUCAUCUCACAUUUUCAGCUUUAGUGUCCCAUUUUCUCUCUCUGCUUCUUCUUCCUUUCCCCCUUUUUCCUCAGUUUACUUCCAUUGCUGCAAACUGAAUUCAAGGCGCAGCAGCAGCAGGGCAGAAUCUUGCCCUUCCCAGUAGUCUCAGGCAAAAGCAAACUGCUGCAAUCUCAUCGGUUGGGUGUUCAUCCUCAUUACUAACUUUUGCCACCUUGAUCACAUUCUGCGGUUGCUUGGCCUUGUGUCCUACUUGUAAUUUUGGAGGUUAUGGACUAGAAGGAGGAAGUGAUGGUGCGAAAGCAGAGAGGAAAACACACAUCGCCACGGGAAGUGCAUGCUGACAGCUAAAAGAAGCCACAGAUGGGUCUGAACCAGCCAGUAACCACAUCCUAGCAUGCGGCUCCUCUAAGCCGGAUGCAGCCUAUUCAAGCUGAUUCAGUAAAAAACAAACCACUCUGUAGACAGCUGAAGAAGACUGCAGGGGAAGCGGGAAGGCAAGACUGGAAGACAGAAGAGGUUCCUUAUAGUUGGGGUGCUCCUAACAGUUCUGAUCUUACAGCUCCACUUGUAACAGCAGCAACAACAAAAUGAACAAGCAAGCUCAAUGUGUAAUUAUUUUCUGAAUAAACCGUGUCUUCAACUAUCCAACAUGGUGAGGGGCAGAGGGACAUUGGUAUGAAUUGUGUAGCAAACAUCUAGCAGUGCAGAUGCCUGAGCUUAGAUUUUCACAUGGAGAUAAGAAGUACCAAGGGCUGUACCUUUCCAACCAUGUUUCCUAGGAUCCACCCACUGUCUGUGGACAUUAUACAGAUGAGGACCAAACACUGAUUUAUUUAGUACUUGUUCAAUGGAUUUAUACCACCAGCACCCCUUUUCACCAAAGAAUGGCAGUCAAGGUAGGUAACUAUAACACACUCAAAUAAGAUAAAUACCUGAACAAGUACAAGUUGAGUCUCCCUUAGAGGUGUCUGGGGGCAUUUGGGGGCAAAAGUAUUGCUUUGAUUUUUUUUUUUUUUUAGUUUUGCAGGGUGUGCUCCUGCAAAGUCUCCUGGAAAAGGGGCUAAGGCAUUCCCAGUUGCACACCCCAGGUUGAAAGGUCUCUUCUAAGGCUAGGAGAAGUGAGUUUUAAGCUACAAUAUGCUGAUUUUUUUGGUCUCAUCCUUUAGUCUUUGGCCCAAUCCUACCUGUUCUCAUCCACCUAAGCUCCAAAUGUCUCUGAAACUGGAUUCUGACUUUAGGAGGAAAAGAGUUCCUCGGCCUUGCAUUACAGGAA